UACGGGGGGAGCAAGCGUUGUUCGGAUUUACUGGGCGUAAAGGGCGCGUAGGCGGUCAGCACAAGUCAGUUGUGAAAUCUCCGGGCUUAACUCGGAAAGGUCAACUGAUACUGUGCGACUAGAGUGCAGAAGGGGCAACUGGAAUUCUCGGUGUAGCGGUGAAAUGCGUAGAUAUCGUUUGGAACGCCAAUGGUGAAAACAGGUUGCUGGAAGUGUGCUGACGCUGAGACACGAAAGCCAGGGGAGCAAACGGG
rnacentral:rRNA from 1 species